UACGUAGGGUGCAAGCGUUAAUCGGAAUUAUUGGGCGUAAAGCGCGCGCAGGCGGUCCUUUAAGUCUGAUGUGAAAGCCCACGGCUCAACCGUGGAGGGUCAUUGGAAACUGGGGGGACUUGAGUGCAGAAGAGGAAAGCGGAAUUCCACGUGUAGCGGUGAAAUGCGUAGAGAUGUGGAGGAACACCAGUGGCGAAGGCGGCUUUCUGGUCUGUAACUGACGCUGAGGCGCGAAAGCGUGGGGAGCAAACAGG
rnacentral:rRNA from 1 species